GACAGCGCCACCUUUUUUUUUAUUUAAAGGCUAAUUUGUAAUUGGAAGUUUAGGCGGUAAAGUAGAGGGCUCUGUUAGCGGUUGAGGGUUCGGGUUUUUAUUUUAUUUUAAGCGUUUUUGAGGGCGUGAAGUGGCCGGAAGGGAGAAGUGGGUUUUGAGGGCCAUUUUGUGACAGGACGUGGAAAAUUAAGCAUUGUUCAAGUGUGAUUUUAUAUUGAAAUUAUUUUAAGAAAAUUUCAGGAAGAGAGAGAGGUUAUUUUCGAGAUAAUUUUACUGGAAAUGGAUUUAUUGUUUCAGAGGUUGAUGGAUGGUGGUAAUGAUUUCAAGUAUUGGUCUGAAGUUGAGUAUUAUUAAUUAUGGGUCCUUGAUAUAUUAUUGGAUAUUGUUGGAUAUAUUUUUUGAAGAUUGAAUAUUGCAAAUAUUAGGAAAAUAUAUAAAUUGAAUAUUG